AUUGAACGCUGGCGGCAGGCUUAACACAUGCAAGUCGAGCGAGUGGCGGACGGGUGAGUAAUGUCUGGGAAACUGCCUGAUGGAGGGGGAUAACUACUGGAAACGGUAGCUAAUACCGCAUACCAUCGGAUGUGCCCAGAUGGGAUUAGCUAGUUGGUGGGGUAACGGCUCACCAAGGCGACGAUCCCUAGCUGGUCUGAGAGGAUGACCAGCCACACUGGAAAGGAGGCACGGUCCAGACUCCUACGGGAGGCAGCAGUGGGGAAUAUUGCACAAUGGGCGCAAGCCUGAUGCAGCCAUGCCGCGUGUAUGAAGAAGGCCUUCGGGUUGUAAAGUACUUUCAGCGGGGCGGCGUUACCCGCAGAAGAAGCACCGGCUAACUCCGUGCCAGCAGCCGCGGUAAUAC
rnacentral:rRNA from 1 species